GUUGCCCCCCUGCACCAAAGCAGGCAUAUUUGUGGCGCUGCACGCGACGCGGCUCGCGUUAUUUACCUUAAGCGAUGCGCGCGGGCCGCGCAUCAACUCGCGCAGAGUUUAUUACACAGAGUUGCAGUGUCCUUGUGUGUCUUGUGACUACUGAAGGCGCCCUGUGCUCGACAUCCCCGCCUGUGCCCCGCUAAUAGCGUCAAACCGAUGAUGUACCAGCUGCCCGGACUCCACUUCUCCUCCUCCUCCUCCUCUCUGCCCUCCUCCACAUCUCCUCAGAGUGUGUCCAGCGGCGAUGUCAGGGACUCUGUAGGAGCCUCUGGGGGGACGACAGAGCCGCGGCCCGGCCGUAACCCAGUUGGAGAGUCGCUGUGAAAACUGGACGUGAAGGGGAAGCGCCAAGGUCAUGAUCGAUUGGCCUAAUGUGACAGCGCCAGGCCACCAGGAGCCAGGCCUGAAACCAGAGGAGCUGCAGAAGUCCAAAUGUGUGCUGGGCUUCAUCCCCGUCAUCUAUUACAGCAUUCUGCUCUGUGUGGGAGUACCAGUGAACAUCCUCACAGCAGUGGCCUUGUCCAGACUGGCGUCCCGCACCAAGAAAGCUCUGUACUACUACCUUCUGGCAGUGACUGGCUCAGACAUUCUCUCCCAGCUCUUCAUCAUCUUUGUGGGCUUCCUGCUGGAGACGGCGGUUUUUCAUCGCGAUGUCCCUGCACUCCUGUUACACUCCGUCAGCGCCGCAGAGUUCGCCGCCAACCACGCCUCCAUCUGGUCCACUGUGCCCCUCACCGUGGACCGCUAUGUGGCGCUGUGCCACCCCCUUCUCCACCGCCAGAUCAGCUACCCGGCACGAGCCAGGAAGAUCAUCGCAGUGGUCCUGACGUUAUCGCUCGCAUCGGGCGUGCCUUUCUUCUGGUGGUCGGACAUGUGGAGGAACAGCCAUCCGCCCACGGCGCUGGACAACGUCCUCAUAUGGACACACGUGACUAUCAUCUACUUCCUGCCGUGCAGCAUCUUCUUAGUCUUGAACUCUUUGAUAAUCCAAACGCUGAGGGCGAGGCAGAGGAAGCAGCAUUGCCAGGAGGAGCGCGGGCCGAAGUCGGCGCCUCCGCGGCGACUAGGGAAAACCACGGCCAUGCUGCUGGCCAUCACCUCUGUGUUCUCUGUGCUGUGGGCCCCCAGGACUGUCGUGGUCAUCUACCACCUGUAUGUGUCCUCAGUUCACAGAGACUGGCGCGUCCACUUGGCCUACGACCUGUCCAACAUGCUGGCCAUGCUCAACACAGCCGUCAACUUCUUCCUCUACUGCUUCGUCAGUAAGCCUUUCCGUGGCGCCGUGCGGGACGUUUUGCUGCUCAGGGGGGGCCCGCUGUAUCCUCACCGCGCUCUGCCACAACAGCAGGCCCCCACCAACGCCUCCAUAUCCUCUUUGUACAGUGGGAAUAACAAGCGCUCACAGCGGGACUCCACCCCGUUGUCACCUCGCAGGGCCAGAAAGCCCUCGUGACCCUGUGCCUCCUCCUCUUAAUUCAAAACACUCCAACAUCCCACGGCCCCUGAGCGCUUCUGACCCCAGGGAUGCACUCUGCGUUCCAGCCACGACCGUGGACAGCUGCCGGCCAGCCCUGGAGCUCUCUCAAAGGCUCUAAAAUGGACCGGGGUUUCCGUUGGGGCUGUAACUGGGUGUUGUUUGUCCAUGUAAAUCAGAUAAAAUGACAACAUAUUUAUUUUGCUUCAGAAAAAUUUGACCACAAAAAAAAGAAAAAAUUAGGUCUUUUGAAUUUUUUCUUUUCCAUACGUGGCAGAAAUGUGAGAAAAUACUUUUUAUAUUGUUACGAGAAAAGAAAACAGUUUUAUCUGUGAUUAAAUCAGUAGUUGGAUCUGGGGUAAGUACACAGAGGGAAAAAAGUAAGGAAAAUUACGAAAUCAUUUUUGAAAGCUGCUACGUGUAAUUCCACUGAUGUCAAGUGGCAUUCAGUUUGCCUCAGUCUAUUUCAAAUACUCUUCUAUCAUAUAGGCUCUGGAGGGAAGGAGAAAUUAGAGUUUUACUUUCAACUGGCUGCCAUCUUCUGCAGUUGUGUAAGGAUGCUGAAUGCCCCAAAAGACAACCAGCCCUGCUGAGCAUAGCCAAUCGAGCAAAGAAAUCGUACUCCGUCUCUACAGCGCGCUCCCAGGCACAAAAACCACAGCUGCUAGGGUGUAUCAUCCAGCUUAAUGUUAUGAAAACAUCUGCAGGACUCAGCUGAAACACUGGCAGCUGUUUUCAACCGACAAGCUCUGAUAAAGCCACCGAACACUACCCGCCAGCACCUGCCCCCACCGAAAGGAAGACAAGGUCAACAGCUAGCCGGUGAAGAAAAUGGAACAUUUACCAGCUAAAGAGCCUGACAGUUUUCUCAGGAGCUGCUGGAGACCAAACCCGAGCUAAAAAGGGAGUGACUGUUGGAUUUAGAUUUACGAGGUGAACAUAAACACAACUCCAAAUGAAUGCUAACGUUGCUCUGUGUCUUUUUAUGUGAAUUUAUUUGCUAAAAUGUCAAAGCUGUUUGUCUGUUAGCUUGACUUGUAGAUCCUCUACAAAAAAAAAAAGGAAAUUAAUGCAGCUUUUAAUAUUUACAAUGAAAAAGUCAUCACAAAAGAAGGUCAAAGCUUUCUAACUUAACUCGGUCUGUGAUAUCUUUCUGUAUCAUCUCAAACUGUUUGAAUGCUUCACUCAACAACGAAGCCUCAAGUGCAGUGUGCUUUAUACUGUAUACACAUCUCCUUCCUCAAGUUUAGAUCGUUCUUCAUUUACUUCCCUGACCACCCAUUUAGGGUUAAAGUUUCCAAUGCAAGCCCCCUGCCUGCUCUCAUCCCCCCACAGUCCUCAUUGUGUUUACUGUAACUGAGUCAGUUCCCCUGCAUGUCCCCGUGUUAAUCUGCUCAUGUCGCGCCGCGGUCGUCCCACGCUGAGUUCUGAGGGUCCGUACGCAGAUGUACGUACGCAUCGUUUCUUUGAAGAUGUCUCCUGCUGCCCGACAAUAACAGAGAGUGCGUGUAGUGAUGUCGACCGUACACUGGUGAGGACGGUGGGGUUCGGGGAGAUGGCUGAACAAACA